GCUCCUGUAGCAUAGCUUGGAUAGUGCACUCGGUUGCGGUCCGGGAGAUCCGGGGUUCAAAUCCCCGCAGGAGCG
rnacentral:tRNA from 1 species